AACAAACGCUGGCGGCGUGCCUAAUACAUGCAAGUCGAACGGGGAAAGCUUUCGGGUGAGUACUAGUGGCGCACGGGUGAGGAACGCGUGGAUAAUCUGCCUUAGAGUGGGGGAUAACUAGUCGAAAGAUUAGCUAAUACCGCAUAAGACCACGAGAGCUGCGGCUUUUGAGGUCAAAGGUUUUUCGCUCUAAGAUGAGUCCGCGUAAGAUUAGCUAGUUGGUGAGGUAACGGCUCACCAAGGCGACGAUCUUUAACUGGUCUGAGAGGAUGAUCAGUCACACGGGAACUGAGACACGGUCCAGACUCCUACGGGAGGCAGCAGUAGGGAAUAUUGCACAAUGGAGGAAACUCUGAUGCAGCGACGCCGCGUGAGGGAUGAAGGCCUUCGGGUCGUAAAGCUCUGUCGCAGGGGAAUAACACAAUGAAGGUACCCUGUAAGAAAGGAUCGGCUAACUUCGUG
rnacentral:rRNA from 1 species